GACGAACGCUGGCGGCGUGCUUAAUACAUGCAAGUCGAACGGACAGGCCCUGCUUUUGUGUGCUGCUCCAUUGGCUAACAGUUGCGUAACACGGAGUUACCCGGCGCUUGCCUUUGGGGUAACUUCGGGAAACUAGGGCUAACACCAGCUAGUAGCUCAUGCUGCAUGUUGGUGCUUGGAAAGUUUCGGCGGUUGGGUAUGGACUCGCGGCUUAUCAGCUUGUUGGUGGGGUAGUGGCUUACCAAGGCUUUGACGGGUAGCCGGCCUGAGAGGGUGACCGGCCACAUUGGGACUGAGAUACGGCCCAGACUCCUACGGGAGGCAGCAGUGGGGAAUAUUGCACAAUGGGCGGAAGCCUGAUGCAGCAACGCCGCGUGCGGGAUGACGGCCUUCGGGUUGUAAACCGCUUUCGCCUGUGACGAAGCGUGAGUGACGGUAAUGGGUAAAGAAGAACCGGCUAACUACGUG
rnacentral:rRNA from 1 species